AGUGAACGCUGGCGGUAGGCCUAACACAUGCAAGUCGAACGGCAGCACAGUAAGAGCUUGCUCUUACGGGUGGCGAGUGGCGGACGGGUGAGGAAUACAUCGGAAUCUACUUUUUCGUGGGGGAUAACGUAGGGAAACUUACGCUAAUACCGCAUACGACCUACUGGUGAAAGCAGGGGAUCUUCGGACCUUGCGCGAUUGAAUGAGCCGAUGUCGGAUUAGCUAGUUGGCGGGGUAAAGGCCCACCAAGGCGACGAUCCGUAGCUGGUCUGAGAGGAUGAUCAGCCACACUUGAACUGAGACACGGUCCAGACUCCUACGGGAGGCAGCAGUGGGGAAUAUUGGACAAUGGGCGCAAGCCUGAUCCAGCCAUACCGCGUGGGUGAAGAAGGCCUUCGGGUUGUAAAGCCCUUUUGUUGGGAAAGAAAAGAAGCAGGUUAAUACCCCGCUGUUCGGACGGUACCCAAAGAAUAAGCACCGGCUAACUUCGU
rnacentral:rRNA from 1 species